rnacentral:rRNA from 1 species
GAACGCUGGCGGCGUGCCUAAUACAUGCAAGUCGAGCGAACAGAUGAGGAGCUUGCUCCUCUGACGUUAGCGGCGGACGGGUGAGUAACACGUGGAUAACCUACCUAUGAGACUGGGAUAACUUCGGGAAACCGGAGCUAAUACCGGAUAAUAUAUUGAACCGCAUGGUUCAAUAGUGAAAGACGGUUUUGCUGUCACUUAUAGAUGGAUCCGCGCCGCAUUAGCUAGUUGGUAAGGUAACGGCUUACCAAGGCAACGAUGCGUAGCCGACCUGAGAGGGUGAUCGGCCGCACUGGAACUGAGACACGGUCCAGACUCCUACGAGAGGCAGCAGUAGGGAAUCUUCCGCAAUGGGCGAAAGCCUGACGGAGCAACGCCGCGUGAGUGAUGAAGGUCUUCGGAUCGUAAAACUCUGUUAUUAGGGAAGAACAAAUGUGUAAGUAACUAUGCACGUCUUGACGGUACCUAAUCAGAAAGCCACGGCUAACUACGUG